CUACGGAGGGUGCAAGCGUUAAUCGGAAUUACUGGGCGUAAAGCGUACGUAGGCGGUUUAUUAAGUCAGAUGUGAAAGCCCCGGGCUUAACCUGGGAACUGCAUUUGAAGCUAGUAGACUAGAGUAUGGUAGAGGGGGGUAGAAUUCCUAGUGUAGCGGUGAAAUGCGUAGAUAUUAGGAGGAAUACCAGUGGCGAAGGCGGCCCCCUGGACCAAUACUGACGCUGAGGUACGAAAGCGUGGGGAGCGAACAGGAUUAGAAACCCGGGUAGUCC
rnacentral:rRNA from 1 species